CGAUUUCCUAAAAGGGAGAAACACAAAGAGUAAAAAAGAUCAAAAAUAUUGAUGAGAAAACCCAGAUUAUAUUGUUUUACAAUGAUGCAUUCACAAGUAAAGAAUUAACAUAUCACACGCAUAUGCUCACAUCUGAUAGUAAAUUUCUUACUUUCAUUGAUGUUCAUUUGAUUCCCUCCAGAAAUGGCCCCUGUGUUAUUACCAAUUACCAUGUUAGCAGUGUUGCCAGCAAUUUGACCAGUUGUCAG